GAUGAACGCUGGCGGCGUGCCUAAUACAUGCAAGUCGAGCGAACGGACGAGAAGCUUGCUUCUCUGAUGUUAGCGGCGGACGGGUGAGUAACACGUGAAUAACCUACCUAUAAGACUGGGAUAACUUCGGGAAACCGGAGCUAAUACCGGAUGAUAUUUUGAACCGCAUGGUUCAAAAGUGAAAGACGGUCUUGCUGUCACUUAUAGAUGGAUCCGCGCUACAUUAGCUAGUUGGUAAGGUAACGGCUUACCAAGGCAACGAUGCAUAGCCGACCUGAGAGGGUGAUCGGCCACACUGGAACUGAGACACGGUCCAGACUCCUACGGGAGGCAGCAGUAGGGAAUCUUCCGCAAUGGGCGAAAGCCUGACGGAGCAACGCCGCGUGAGUGAUGAAGGUCUUCGGAUCGUAAAACUCUGUUAUUAGGGAAGAACAUAUGUGUAAGUAACUGUGCACAUCUUGACGGUACCUAAUCAGAAAGCCACGGCUAACUACGUG
rnacentral:rRNA from 1 species